rnacentral:rRNA from 1 species
GAUGAACGCUAGCGAUAGGCUUAACACAUGCAAGUCGAGGGGUAACGUGUUGGAAGCUUGCUUCCGAUGACGACGACCGGCGGAUGGGUGCGUAACGCGUAUGCAACUUGCCUCACAGUGGAGAAUAACCCGGAGAAAUCCGGACUAAUACUCCAUACACUCUUAAGUACGCCUGUACAUGAGAGGAAAGAUUUAUCGCUGUGAGAUAGGCAUGCGUCCUAUUAGGUAGUUGGUGAGGUAACGGCUCACCAAGCCGACGAUAGGUAGGGGUGCUGAGAGGCAGAUCCCCCACAUUGGGACUGAGACACGGCCCAAACUCCUACGGGAGGCAGCAGUGAGGAAUAUGGGUCAAUGGAGGAAACUCUGAACCAGCCAAGUCGCGUGAAGGAAGAAUGUCCUAAGGAUUGUAAACUUCUUUAGCGAGCGAGUAAGGACUUCCACGUGAUGGGAGUUUGAAAGUAGCUCGAGAAUAAGUAUCGGCUAACUCCGUG